ensembl:lncRNA
CCUAGGCUGCGAAGUCCCUCGGCUUUGUGAUAUAGUGAGAGAUUCCAGUCUUGGAACCCAGAAACAAAAUCCAAAUGAUGUGGCAGUUAGAAUGUAGGUUUAUUGACUAGGAUGCUGAUGGGGUAUUCAUGGGUUUCUAAGGGAUAGAAGCCCUAGAAUGAUGACACCCAGUGCUCCUUUGAUCUGGUAGUUACACACCUUACUGGUCAUAGGUCCACCAACCCAGCAGAAAAGAAAGUACCAAUAAGCUGUUUCCACUCGUAUCCUAGGAGCUGAGGAUGAAGACAGAGAUGAAUAAUGCAGGAGCCCUACUUCUAGUGCUGGGAAACAGAAGAAAUAAGUCCUACACAUGUAACACAGGACAAAAGCUUCUGCCUUCGUCUUCUUGUAAUGUUUCCUACCACCCUGUUUGGAAGCUUGGACAAAACUACUGAAUGAUAAAAGACGCCUUGGAGAGAGAGGCCCAGCUAAUAUCCAGCAUUAAGUCCCUAGAUAUGUGAAGGAGGCCAUCUUAAAACCUCCAACCCCAGACCAACUGCGAGAUAACUGAUGCCUCAUGGGAAAGCCCAGGGAGAUUGCAACAGAUAAAAUCACAACCAAAAUACAGAAGACAGUAAGAUGAGUGAAGUCAAAUCAUGACUUCAUGUUCCAUAUUGGAGAAGUUAUUCUGGUGACUUUUGCACAGACGGCUUAAGCAUUGAUCUCCAGGCAAAGAAUAAAGUAGGAGCAGAAGAUCUGAGUCCAAUGGGAGUAAAACAUAAGGAAUUUUGGGCAGUGCUGAAGAAAGUAGCUUUGAUAUCUUAAGAUUUCCUGGGCCACAGACCAGAGGCAAAUGUUAGACCACCACAGUAACAAAAGUGUGGUGUAGUGGAAAUAACCUAGAUUUCCUGGAAGCCAAGGGUCAAAUAUAUUAAUUCUAAAUUUGCUAGCAACCUGUUCCUUAGCUUCAGCAAAGUUGUUUAUCCUCUCUGUACCUUGAUCUCCUUAACUCCAAAAGAAGAGGAUUUUACAGUCAGUAGCAAAUUUUCGUUCAAGUCCUGGCAAAACAACCUUCUACAAGGCUUGCUUCAUUGAUAGCAGUAACCACCAUUUUGGGCACAAGUAGCUCCAGUGCCCAUUCUUGUACAUCUUUUUGUAAUUCUGAAUAGUGUCAUGGGCUCCUUCUACCCAUCUCAAGAAGAGUCAACUAGUGGAGAAACCUCUAGGAUGAUCCGAUUGAGAUUUUUUGCCAACUUUAUUAUUUCCCAGUAAUUCUAAUUUAAACUAAACCUUGUUAGUAAUUUGAGAUUAAGGUUAGGAAAGAGAGGAGUACAAAUCUUUAUCUGAGUGACUCCAAAUAAUGAUCUACUUUAAAAAAUACUUCGGAGUUGUCAGCCUUGCUUGAAUUGGUGGUAAGUCCAUAGUAUUUAUACUUUGUUUCCUAUUGUGUAGCCAGCACAAGGAUCAACAGACCUGAGCAGGGAAGAGAGUCAACUGGUCACUAGAUGAUCUCUAAGGAACCUCUGAUUUCUUCUAUUUUAGUGGAGAGUGUGAGCGGAAGUGAGUGCUCUGUGUGAAAGAAAAUCAUGGGAUUCAGGACACUACAAAGGCACACUGGGCUUCAGUUGCUGAUCGCUAUUGAUAAGCUGCUUUCCUUUUGCAGAAGUGAGUUAAGCGGACAGCUUCACCCUGUCUUCACUGGGAAGAUCAGAUUUAAACUAUUAUUCUGCCCUUGUUUAAAAGGGAAGAUAUUUGGUAGAGACACAUACAAAGUAUGGCACCUAGAGACCUCAAGUUUUCAGUGUAGACAGAAGAUGGAAGACUGCUAGGAAGCAGUGCCACCAAUGAAUGCAUAACCCUCUUCUCCAACUUAUUACCAAUACUAGGAAUUAUCUAAAUUUUAAUCUUUGCUAAUUUGAUAUUUAAAAAUAUGAUCCAUU